GUGUGUGUGUGCGCGCGUAUUUCAUUUCCUUCCUUUACUUUUCGUUUCAUUUCAUAUUCCUUUACAUCGAUCCACACUGAAAAGAAAACCAUGCAACCCGAUAACUCGCUGGACAAUUCUCACUUGUACCGGUUUCUCUCCGAGAACGGAGUUUUCAACGUUGGACCCUACGGUUUCCCGACGAUGCAAAGCAUGUGUAGUUCAUCCUCGUCGUCUUACCAUAAUUACCCCUUGGAAGGGUCUAUAAUUACGGAUAUGACACCACAGGAUAGAGCUCUUGCUGCUUUAAAGAAUCAUAAGGAAGCUGAGAAGAGAAGGAGAGAGAGAAUUAACUCUCAUCUAGAUAAGCUCAGGAGCCUCCUUCCUUGCAAUUCUAAGACCGACAAAGCUUCACUUCUAGCAAAAGUUGUUCAACGAGUGAGAGAACUCAAACAGCAGACAUCAGAAAUUCCAGGGCUCGAAACCUUCCCAUCAGAAACCGAUGAGAUCACUGUUCUUUCCGGUGAGUGUUCAAGCGAUGGACAGUUGAUCUUCAAGGCAUCUUUAUGCUGUGAAGAUCGCUCUGAUCUUUUGCCUGACCUCAUUGAGAUAUUGAAAUCCCUGCAUUUGAAGACGCUUAGAGCUGAAAUGGUAGCACUUGGAGGAAGAAUCAAGAACGUUCUUGUAGUUGCUGCCGAGAAAGAUCACAGCACUGAAUCAGUAAAUUUCUUGCAAACUGCACUCAAAUCUUUACUUGAACGAUCAAAUUCUAGUGAUCGCUUUAAAAGGAGAAGGGUAUUAGACCAUAAAUUAAUAAUGCAAUGACUAUUGUGUGCUUUCUUUCCUUUUUCCCCUUGUAUUAUUCCUUUCUUUAAAGCUUUAUUGCGGAGUUCCACGCCUGAUAUUCAAAUCCUGAUGUUGUCUAACCGAAGAAAAGAAAAGGCUUCAACUUAAAAAAAAAGCUUUA
rnacentral:misc_RNA from 1 species